AUUGAACGCUGGCGGCAUGCUUUACACAUGCAAGUCGAACGGUAACAGGUUAAGCUGACGAGUGGCGAACGGGUGAGUAAUGCAUCGGAACGUGCCCGAUCGUGGGGGAUAACGUAGCGAAAGUUACGCUAAUACCGCAUACGAUCUGAGGAUGAAAGCGGGGGACCGUAAGGCCUCGCGCGAUCGGAGCGGCCGAUGUCAGAUUAGGUAGUUGGUGGGGUAAAGGCCCACCAAGCCGACGAUCUGUAGCUGGUCUGAGAGGACGACCAGCCAAACUGGGACUGAGACACGGCCCAGACUCCUACGGGAGGCAGCAGUGGGUAAUUUUGGACAAUGGGCGCAAGCCUGAUCCAGCAAUGCGGCGUGCAGGAAGAAGGCCUUCGGGUUGUAAACUGCUUUUGUACGGAGCGAAAAGGCUCUCUCUAAUACAGGGGGCUCAUGACGGUACCGUAAGAAUAAGCACCGGCUAACUACGUGCCAGCCGCCGCGGUAAGAC
rnacentral:rRNA from 1 species